ACACUCUCUAUAGCUAGAUACUCAGUGUAUUCCUAGAUAGCAAAUCACACCAUACGACAACGGAUGCUAAUGGUUUUGCAAUUAGGAGAGUGUUGAUGCCAGAGUGAAGGCCCAUUGUGUAUGAAAGUAGAAAACUCAGGGGUAGCCAACUAAGGUGGCCCACCUACAAGAAGGAACACUUUGCAGUUGUCCACUACCUUAAAAUAUAGAAGCUUUAUUUGAGCGGCAGAGAAAUAAAGGUCUUUAUUGAUAAUAUAUCAC
rnacentral:lncRNA from 1 species